UGGGGAAUAUUGCACAAUGGGCGAAAGCCUGAUGCAGCAACGCCGCGUGAGUGAUGAAGGCCUUCGGGUUGUAAAGCUCUGUCUUCUGGGACGAUAAUGACGGUACCAGAGGAGGAAGCCACGGCUAACUACGUGCCAGCAGCCGCGGUAAUACGUAGGUGGCAAGCGUUGUCCGGAUUUACUGGGCGUAAAGGAUGCGUAGGCGGAUACUUAAGUCAGAUGUGAAAAUCCCGGGCUUAACUUGGGAACUGCAUUUGAAACUGGGUAUCUAGAGUGCGGGAGAGGAAAGUGGAAUUCCUAGUGUAGCGGUGAAAUGCGUAGAUAUUGGGAGGAACACCAGUGGCGAAGGCGACUUUCUGGACUGUGUCUGACACUGAGGCGCGAAAGCCAGGGGAGCGAACG
rnacentral:rRNA from 1 species